UUGCCGAAUCUCAUAAAUCAG
rnacentral:piRNA from 1 species